rnacentral:misc_RNA from 1 species
GAUGAAGAACGCAGCAAAAUGCGAUAAGUAAUGUGAAUUGCAGAAUUCAGUGUAUCAUCGAAUCUUUGAACGCACAUUGCGCCCGCUGGUAUUCCGGCGGGCAUGCCUGUUCGAGCGUCAUUUCAACCCUCAAGCCCCCGGGUUUGGUGUUGGGGAUCGGCUCUGCCCUUCUGGGCGGUGCCGCCCCCGAAAUACAUUGGCGGUCUCGCUGCAGCCUCCAUUGCGUAGUAGCUAACACCUCGCAACUGGAACGCGGCGCGGCCAUGCCGUAAAACCCCAACUUCUGAAUGUUGACCUCGGAUCAGGUAGGAAUACCCGCUGAACUUAAGCAUAUCAAUAAGCGGAGGA